rnacentral:rRNA from 1 species
AGAGUUUGAUCCUGGCUCAGGACGAACGCUGGCGGCGUGCUUAACACAUGCAAGUCGAGCGGAAAGGCCCUUCGGGGUACUCGAGCGGCGAACGGGUGAGUAACACGUGAGCAACCUGCCCUUAGCUCUGGGAUAGCUCCGGGAAACCGGAAUUAAUACCGGAUAUGACCUAGGCCGACAUCGGCCGUGGUGGAAAGUUUUUCGGCUAGGGAUGGACUCGCGGCCUAUCAGCUAGUUGGUGGGGUAAUGGCCUACCAAGGCGACGACGGGUAGCCGGCCUGAGAGGGCGACCGGCCACACUGGGACUGAGACACGGCCCAGACUCCUACGGGAGGCAGCAGUGGGGAAUCUUGCGCAAUGGGCGAAAGCCUGACGCAGCGACGCCGCGUGGGGGAUGAAGGCCUUCGGGUUGUAAACCCCUUUCAGCAGGGACGAAGCGAAAGUGACGGUACCUGCAGAAGAAGCGCCGGCUAACUACGUGCCAGCAGCCGCGGUAACACGUAGGGCGCAAGCGUUGUCCGGAAUUAUUGGGCGUAAAGAGCUCGUAGGCGGACUGUUGCGUCCGCUGUGAAAAGCUGGGGCUUAACCCUGGCCUUGCAGUGGAUACGGGCAGACUAGAGGUAGGUAGGGGAGAAUGGAAUUCCCGGUGUAGCGGUGAAAUGCGCAGAUAUCGGGAGGAACACCGGUGGCGAAGGCGGUUCUCUGGGCCUUACCUGACGCUGAGGAGCGAAAGCGUGGGGAGCGAACAGGAUUAGAUACCCCCGUAGUCC